AAUGAACGCUGGCGGCGUGCCUAAGACAUGCAAGUCGUACGCGAAAGUCCGCAAGGAUGAGUAAAGUGGCGCACGGGUGAGUAAUAUUUAGGUAACUUACCUUCUCGCUGAGAAUAACCAGGCGAAAGCUUGGCUAAUACUGAAUGAUUCGGAGGUUAAAAACUUCGACAAAGCCGUAAGGCGCGGGAAGAUAGGCUUAAAUCCGAUUAGCUUGUUGGUGAGGUAAUGGCUCACCAAGGCUACGAUCGGUAGCUGGUCUGAGAGGACGAUCAGCCACACUGGAACUGGAACACGGUCCAGACUCCUACGGGAGGCAGCAGUUAGGAAUUUUGUCGCAAUGGGAGAAAUACCUGACGCAGCAACGCCGCGUGAGGGAUGACGGCCUCGGUGUAACGU
rnacentral:rRNA from 1 species